AGUGAACGCUGGCGGUAGGCCUAACACAUGCAAGUCGAACGGCAGCACAGUAAGAGCUUGCUCUUACGGGUGGCGAGUGGCGGACGGGUGAGGAAUACAUCGGAAUCUACUUUUUCGUGGGGGAUAACGUAGGGAAACUUACGCUAAUACCGCAUACGACCUACGGGUGAAAGCAGGGGAUCUUCGGACCUUGCGCGAUUGAAUGAGCCGAUGUCGGAUUAGCUAGUUGGCGGGGUAAGGCCCACCAAGGCGACGAUCCGUAGCUGGUCUGAGAGGAUGAUCAGCCACACUGGAACUGAGACACGGUCCAGACUCCUACGGGAGGCAGCAGUGGGGAAUAUUGGACAAUGGGCGCAAGCCUGAUCCAGCCAUACCGCGUGGGUGAAGAAGGCCUUCGGGUCGUAAAGCCCUUUUGUUGGGAAAGAAAAGCAGCAGGUUAAUACCCCGCUGUUCUGACGGUACCCAAAGAAUAAGCACCGGCUAACUUCGUG
rnacentral:rRNA from 1 species